CCCUUAGAUGUUCUGGGCCGCACGCGCGCUACACUGAUGCAUUCAACGAGCCUAUCCUUGACCGACAGGUCCGGGUAAUCUUUGAAUCUGCAUCGUGACGGGGAUAGAUUAUUGCACUUAUUAAUCUUCAACGAGGAAUGCCUAGUAGGCGCAAGUCAUCAGCUUGCGUCGAUUACGUCCCUGCCCUUUGUACACACCGCCCGUCGCUCCUACCGAUUGGGUGUGCUGGUGAAAUGUUCGGAUCGGCCGUUUGUCGCGGUUUCCGCGUCAUGUGGCUGAGAAGUUCAUUAAACCCUCCCACCUAGAGGAAGGAGAAGUCGUAACA
rnacentral:rRNA from 1 species